AAUUAAAUUAAUUCUUGCAGUAGGCCACAUCCAACCAUUUAUUGACAAUCUAGAGAUAUUGUUUGAAGCAGUAGCUACACUUAAACCUGGAGGAAAAGAGUGCAAAGAUGAUUUGGACGUUAUAAGAGCCAUAGAAAGUAAUACAGGAUUCAAACAUGGAAAGGGGUGCAAGACUAGAUAAAUUGUAGUUCUACAUAAGGAUAUUGAAGAAGCUAAUCUGUCAAAGGUCCUGUCAUCACAGCCUAAUACUCCUCCAAGUGAAGCCUUGUUUUUAUUUUUAACAACAUAGAACUGGACAAACAGUAUAUUGUUGGAGACCAGUGCAAGAUACCACUUGAGACAGAUAGCCUCAUGGAAGGCUAUUCUUAUUGAUAAGCUGGUAUUAUAUAAUGAAUCUUGAAAAUCCCACUGCUUUUCACAACUCCUUGGAUUCAUGCAACAAACAGUAUUUAAACAAGCCUUUCUUAGUCACAAGUCGGCUGGGUAUUUACACUUUGUGGAAAAAUUGGAAAAACUAAUGAACAAAUAGAACCAACAUUUUAAAUUAAAUUCAACCUUCUGAGUCAUGGACAUAUUAUUGACUUCUUAACAGCUUAC